rnacentral:rRNA from 1 species
GCCUAACACAUGCAAGUCGAACGAACCCUUCGGGGUUAGUGGCGCACGGGUGCGUAACGCGUGGGAACCUGCCUUUAGGUUCGGAAUAACUCAGAGAAAUUUGAGCUAAUACCGGAUAAUGUCUUCGGACCAAAGAUUUAUCGCCUUUAGAUGGGCCCGCGUUAGAUUAGAUAGUUGGUGGGGUAAUGGCCUACCAAGGCGAUGAUGGUUAGCCGGCCUGAGAGGGUGUCCGGCCACACUGGGACUGAGACACUGCCCAGACUCCUACGGGAGGCUGCAGUCGAGAAUCUUCCACCAAUGCGCGAAAGCGUGAUGGAGCGACGUCGCGUGUGUGAUGAAGGCCCUAGGGUUGUAAAGCUCUUUCAACGGUGAAGAUAAUGACGGUAGCCGUAGAAGAAGCCCCGGCUAAC